AUGAACCGGCAAUGGAUGUACGGUGACAGACACACCUCUGAGUACAUUAAGGGCGUGCAUGACUUUGACGAUGCGGCUGAGGCAAAUAAGCAGAAUGGUUUUAUGUGUUGUCCAUGCACUAAAUGUGGGAAUACGAGGUCUUACUCUAACCGAAAAAUCCUUCACUCCCACCUGCUUUACAAGGGUUUCAUGCCACACUAUAAUGUUUGGACGAGGAACGAAGAAAUAGGGGUUAUGAUGGAAGACGGCGAAGAAGAGUACGAUGACAACUAUGUGCCCCCUGAAUACGGUGAUGCUGCAACGGGGGGAGCUGGUGAAGAUCAAGAGGAACCAGACGAUGUGCCCAAUGAUGCUGCAACGGGUGAAGCUGCUGAAGAUCAACAGGAACCAGACGAUGUGCCCGAUGAUGAUGAUCUCCGCCGGGUCAUUGUCGAUGCAAGGACGCAAUGCGAAAGUCAAAAGGAGAAGCUGAAGUUCGAUCGCAUGUUAGAG
rnacentral:rRNA from 1 species